AAAAAAACAAAUUACUUUCACAUUCAUGAUUAUUUCACAAUUAAUAAAUGAAGGAAUGCUAAUCUAUGUCCAGCCAAAUAAUACAGCUUGCAAAAAAAGAUAAGAUCUUAUCUUACGUUUGAAAUACAGAAGUACAACAAAAAACUAACACAUCCUCAAAUCAAAACAAUAUAACAUUAAUCCAAACAUUUCAUAUAACAGAGAACAACAAAGUUGAUGGAAGUACACUAUUAAGCAAAACAGAGUAUGAAACAUGAGGAACCAAACCUCAAAAUGGAUCAAUACAUUAGUUGUGCGGCAACUUUAAACUCAGACACGACAAACCAUGGACAGAGCUGAAACGGAACCCAUGAACAACGACCACGGACAACCUUGAAGCUCGCCGGAAUUAUCGAACUAGACCAGAAUGACAAAAACUAAACUCCUGGCUAGAUUUUGAGUUUCUUUGGGAUUAAUUUUGGGGUUGUACUGAUCUGGUUUUGAAAGACGCCUGUUGGUGGUGAAAGAACGGCAGAGUUGCUCAUUUUCUGGCGAGCUAGGUUGAAGACGAUGACUGCUGCUAUGGUGCUUUGGAGUCGAGGUCGCUGGUUUUGUUGAGGAAAGAAAACAGAACGGAUCCCAGCUCCUUUAAACUCAGGCGUUUUUCAUCUGCUAGGUUGAAGGAAGGAGAUGAUUUUAGUGGUCGUUUUUGUUGUGUGUGGUCGUUUGGAGGUUAGCAACGACACUAGGUUAUAAUGGUAGUCGUUGUGGGGUGAAGGAGACGGGGGUCUCUUCUCUGAAAACGGCGCAGCCUUUUGUCCCUAGGUCUUUAGGAAUUUCCUUUUCUAUUUUUGUCUCCCCUCCUUCGGUCUAUUUAUUUCUCAUUGCUACUAUGCUUGUGCUUUUAUAUAUUGUUAUAUCUUGGCGAGAAAGCUAGUGUUUGGUCCUCCUUAAAAAGAGAAUGCUAAAAAUUAAAAUUGUGACCAAAAGGAAUCAAUUCUAUUAUGGAUGAAAAGACUACACGUGAUUUUGAGAGGAUAUGGAGGAAAAUCAAUUUAGGAGGUGGAACCAUUAUAGAAUAAGAAAUUAAGAACACAAUAUAUGGGGGCCACGGAAGGGGAUCUAAUUCUCUUUCCACCUUCUUUUCUUUCUUCUUUGAUUUUUUCUUUUGCUUUUUUCACGUUUUUCCCUUUUUUGUGUGUGUUUUUGGUUGAUUUUCUUUUCUUUCUUUAUUUUUAGUUAAUAAAAUAAAAUAUUACUCCUACUUGAUAAAUAUGGAAAGAUAAAAAAUGCUAACUAUCCAAAAUUCAUUUAUUAACAUCCAACUUGAAAUGGAUAGAGUACACCCUUUAAAAAUAUAUUUUUGGAUCUUUUUUUUUCUUUUGAGAAUAAGAACACAAUUAAUAUGUAAAAUUGUGACUAUUUUUUGUUGUUUUCAAUUUAUCUAAAAUAAACCUAUAAAAAUGUGAAAUAAAACUAAAAUAUUAAGAUUAAACUUUAAAAAUAUUUACAUGCUAUAACGUGAUGCAAAUUCAAAUAUAGUCAAAAAUUAGGUGCUCACAGCUGCCGCUCUUUGUUCGGAAACACGAAGAGUUUUCGGACAAAGAUAAAGUGAGCCAUGUGACUAAUUUUUGACAGUAUCGUUAUUCAAAAGAGGAAGAAAAAAGGCGCAACCGAGUCCUGGUUUUGGACAGCCUACAUAUCCUGGGUUAUAAGGGAAUCAGGUCGUGUGUAGUUCAAGAAGAGUGAUGGAAUGCCGAGUUCGAGAGUCGAGUGAGGUUCCGUUGAGGAUCCGAUCUGUGGUCCUACUAUUACAUCUAAAUCAAAAAAUGAAAAAGACUAACUAAGCUUGUCAACUAUGAGUUACAAGAUUUCUAUCUAUAAGUUUUUCGAAGCUUGAUCUUGAGUCUUGAAUGGUUUUUCAUGCAGACUUAAAAUUUGAACCUUGACGCUUGCUAGUUGCAGGUGCUAGUUCAUUCUUCUUCAUCUUUUCGGAUCAAGACUGGACAUACCAUGAUUGUGACUUCAGUCAUGUCUUGAGCAGCUCACAUCUUUCAUUAACUUCUGCAUUUGGAUUCACUUCUUGCCUUUCUUUUUUUUAUUCUGGAUUGUGACUAACUUCCAUUGAUCAUCACGGACUGUUGACUCGCAUUCUUGCCACGAGCUUCUUUUAUUGCUGACUUGAAUUGCAUUCCCUUGUUUUCCAGGUAGGUGCCUGAUUGCCAAAACUUGAACUGUUUUCCUUCAAAACUUGAAUCGUUUUCUCUUGUUCUCUAGGUGGGCGCCUGAUUGCUGAAACUUUCUGUGUUCCCCCGGAACUGCUUCCCCUUGAAACUUGCAAUAUCUUCCCUUGAAACUUGAACUGUCUUCCCUUGUUCUCCAGGUGGGUGCCUGAUACUACAACAAAACAGACAAAACAAAAGAAUUUUUUCUGCCCCAGUUUGCACUAGGAAGAUUUGUGAGUUGUUAGCGAAACUAUAAAUCACCUACGCUGCUGAUGGAGGAUGCAAUGAUGAGAGUAAAAUUAAUGACUCGACUAGGAUGUGCGUCUCCUAAAAGUGAUUGAGCUUGCGGAACACUAUAAACUAAGCUUGACUAAAGUAAAGACUGUCCCUAUUCUCCAGGCGGGGCCCCUGAUUUCAAGAAAACCAAACAUUGAUAACUUAAGAAAACUAAAAAUUGACCUUUUUUUCAAAUUCAAACUUCCCUUUUUAAUUUGUUUUUUUAUUAUCCUAGGAGAAAAUUCAUCGGACUAGGUUUUCUAUCUUAGGAGAAAGAUUCAUCAGACUAAGAUUUCUAUCCUAGGAGAAAAUUCAUCAGACUAGGUUCUCUAUCUUAGGAGAAAAAUUCAUCAGACUAAGAUUUCGAUCCUAGGAGAAAAUUCAUCAGACUAUGACUUUUUAUCCUAGGAGGAAAAUAUGUGAAGAUCAAUGGCAAGAUUUUAUGCACAAUAACAAAAAGUUGAGAAACUUUCCUUUGUCGGCUCUUCUCUUCUUUUCUUUUCCUUCUCUUUUUUGUUUUUUUUGAACCACUUUCCUUGCACUGCUUUGUUCCUGUUUCACACAAAGAAAAAUUUGUCAGUUUUGAAAAUGGUGGUCGGUUUGUGGCCUUGAGUCUUGCGCAUCUUGGCUUCUACUCAAUCAGCUUGAGUCGGUCUCAAAAGACUUUUGUUCUGCAACAACUCUGAUUGUUUCACACCCAGUACCAUUUGUAUUUGCNNNNNNNNNNNNNNNNNNNNNNNNNNNNNNNNNNNNNNNNNNNNNNNNNNNNNNNNNNNNNNNNNNNNNNNNNNNNNNNNNNNNNNNNNNNNNNNNNNNNNNNNNNNNNNNNNNNNNNNNNNNNNNNNNNNNNNNNNNNNNNNNNNNNNNNNNNNNNNNNNNNNNNNNNNNNNNNNNNNNNNNNNNNNNNNNNNNNNNNNNNNNNNNNNNNNNNNNNNNNNNNNNNNNNNNNNNNNNNNNNNNNNNNNNNNNNNNNNNNNNNNNNNNNNNNNNNNNNNNNNNNNNNNNNNNNNNNNNNNNNNNNNNNNNNNNNNNNNNNNNNNNNNNNNNNNNNNNNNNNNNNNNNNNNNNNNNNNNNNNNNNNNNNNNNNNNNNNNNNNNNNNNNNNNNNNNNNNNNNNNNNNNNNNNNNNNNNNNNNNNNNNNNNNNNNNNNNNNNNNNNNNNNNUUGUUUGUCAGAGAGAAUCACCAGUUAUCUUUGCUUGCGCCAAGUAGGUUGACAAGAGUCUUUUGGGGGGAGCCUUUGCAUGAAUCCUCAAGGUAUAUUGAUUGUAACAACUGAGUGUGCUGGCCAAAUUUACUUUGUGCAACUGAAAAACUGGUAGCAGAUUUUGAAAUCUUUUCUUGCUUGUUUUUACAAGGACUGACUCGGAGUUAAAACCACAAUGAUGCAAAGAAACAAGUAUUAACAAGAAAUGCCCCUGUCGGAAGGACAGAAGGAAGAGUUUUUUUUUCCUUUCUUCUUUGUUUCUUCUUUUUUUUCUUUUUUUUUCAAUACCUAGCCUUAGUGGUCAUGACAUGCAUUUUUGGACUCAACAGCCUGAUCCAUCAAACUAAUCCAAUCUUCCCUUUUGCCAUUCUUAUGACCUUUGAAGUCGGGCUUGUUCGUGCCAAUCCUUUGCAUCAGCUUCAACUCACUUUUGACUAGUGGUGCCCCGAGAGAUUUUUACCUAUAAGUCUCUCUCAUUUAUUUUCUCAGCUUACUGUCGCCUUACAGUGCCCGUGAAGGUUUUCACUAGUAAGACUCUCUCAUUUUUCUUUUUUCUUUCCUCUUUUUUUUUGGAUUUUCUUUUGUGAGCAACUUGACAGUGUUCUAUAUCGUGUGACAACCGUUUCUCAUUGCAUGCUUCUCUUGGCAUUCUUGAAGGCAUAUCAGGAGGUCUUUAUUUGGAAGGAUUUUGGAUAGGGUUGGAAAGAAAGGACAUCAUGAAGGCUCAAAUAGACUCAAAGUUAAGGGGGUUGUAGACUUACAAUUCUUGGAAUCGACUCUUUCAGAAAUGAAAUAAAAUCUUUGCCUCAGUUUCAACUAUUAGGGAUUUUUUGGAUUUUUUUUAAUUCUUAUUUGGUUGGACCGAACCGUGAGGCUGCCUACGUAUCCUUUUUUAAGAAACUAGGUCAAACGUAGUUCAAAACAUCUGACCUAACUAUUUUUCUUUCUGUUCCUCUGUCUUUUUCCUUUCUUUUCUUUUUUUAUUUUUCCUUUCUUUUUCCUUCUUUUUUUCUUUUUUUUUCUUUUUGUUUGCCCCAGUUUCUAUCUUCUGAGGGCAUGGACCUUCGACAGUUCUUUUCUUCCUGUUUUUUCACUUGAACUUUCCAAGAGCUGUCCCAGUUUGUACUCUUAGGACAUGGACUUUUUUUUUCUUUUUUUUUUAUUUUUGACUCUUGACUCUAAACUUGAUUUCAAAAGAGGGCAGUCAAUGAAAAUAACACAGGCUCAAAAAGGGGUAGCGAAGGAUAUAAAGUGUUUGGAUAGCAGAAAAAGGGCCUCCCAGAUUCGAGAACGCCAAACAUAGUAUCCUUUCACAAUCACGACAAUGAUGAACAUGUCUGUCUUCUUGGUGUGUCGUGGUCACAAGACACUUUCCAUCCCUUAGUGUCAAACUUUUCAAUAAACUUCAAUUGAUUAAACAUCCUCAAGCCCGAUCUUCACAAUGAUUUGAAGGUGAAUUUUACUCAACCUUAAUUCCAAAGUAUUUCAACUCUUUAUUCAUCCCCAAAAUUGUUUUUUUUCUCAGUUUUCCAAUUCCAGAUUAAAUCUUUUUCUAAGAUCUGUCCAAAAUUUCCCUAUGCAUGUCACGUCAUUAGAACUAGCGAGAAAAGAACUAAGAAUAGAAUGCACAAAAGGACAAAUUGUAUUUCACUGAGUAAAGGAUGAAAGAGUUUGACAACAAGACAAACAACCUAAAAUCCGAGUUACAAACCUAAAAUAACCCGAAUAAUGAAAAUAGCAACAAAACAGACAGACAUGACUCAAACAAACAGAAUAAAAGGAUAGAAAGGUUUGACUCAAUAAAACAAAUAAAAUCUGGAUCACAACCCUUGAAUAACCCAGAUAAUAGAAAAAACAUCAAAACAAGCUACCAAGAUUCCUUCCUAGUAAGGAGAGAAUGACUUUUCAAUUGUUAAGCUUGACAUUUAGCCACAAAUUUACUCAUCAGAAUCACCAUGGCCUUCUCCAAUUUUAGUCGACAAAUUCCCGAGAGGAUUCUCAUAUUCCAUGUCACCACGUAUCACCCCUACAAAGUGUGCAUCAUCAUGUGCAGGUUAAGUACUCUGCGCGAUACUCUGGGUGUCACUGUCUUGGAUCACAAUCCGGUUUUCCUGGAUCAUCCUUUCUAUUUCCCUUUUCAAAUCCCAACAACUUUCAACAUUGUGCCCCUGAGCAUUGGAAUGGUAUUCACACCUUUUAGAAGGGUCAAAGCCUCUUGCACGGGGGUCCACAUGAUUUGGAGGAAUAAGUGCAAUUAUGUCAUACUACUUUAAUUUCUCAAACAAGCUUGCAUAGGACUCUCCUAUUGGUGUAAAAUUAUCUUACAACCUUUGUUCCCUUCUAUACCCUUGGCUUGGAUGUGGGUUAUAGAGCAUUUGAAAAUUUUGUGGAGGCUGGUGGAGAUUUUGCGGUGCUGGUGUUCGCCUUCUGGGGUGUCUUGGUGGUCGGGCAACAUACUGAGGUGCAGCAACAGAGUAUUGAGGGUUCUGAGGUGGAUAAUACUGCUUAGGGGAGUCAUGGAAAACCUGAGGAGGCUGCUCAUACCUUCGAGACGUUCUCAUGGGACCUUUUCUCGAUCCUGAUGUCAUCAUGAUUUCUUUAACCUUCUCAUUCGUGUGACCAAAAUUAUUGGAUUCAAUCUGGACAACGUGAGUUACGGCUUUGAGAACUGCUUGACUUAUAAUUCUACCUGUCUUAUGACCGUUCUCAACCAUUUCCCCCAUUUUGAUUGCUUCCGAGAAAGAUUUAUCCACAACAAAUAUUAUGUUUUGAAAAUAAUCUGGCUCUUGAGCCUGAAGAAAGACAGUGAUUAGCUUGUGGUCAUCUAUGAGUGGCUUAAUUCUAGCUGCUUGUUCUCUCCAUUUAAUGGCAUAUUUCCUGAAACUUUCAGUUGGUUUCUUCUUCAGGUUUGAAAAGGAAUUGCGGUCUGGGGUGAUGUUGAUGUUAUAUUGGAACUAUUUGACAAAGGCAUGUUCCAUGUCAUUCCAGACGUACCAGCGAGAUGUGUCUUGAUCCAUAAACCAUUCGGAUGGUACUCCCGUAAGGCUUUCCCCAAUAUAAACUAUUAGCAAUUCUUCAUUUCUUCCUGUACCUCUUAGCUGAUUGCAAUACCUUUUCAGGUGGGCUAUGGGGUCUCCAUGUCCAUCAUACUUUUCAAAUUUGGGAGUCUUGAAACCAGGCGGCAAGUGGACAUCGGAGAACAUACAUAGAUCCUUGAAGGCAAUACUCUUCUGACUUGCCAAACCUUGCAUAUUUUUCAACUGUUGUUCUAAGCUUUUCACUCUAUGAGUCAUUUCUUCAUGUGCCAUCUUUCGGGCAGGCUUCUCAAUGUUUGCAAGAAGAUCAAACAAGUACGAGUGCUACUCAGGAGAGUGGUACUGCUCUUGCUGGGUAGUAAAUUGUGACUCAUGACAAGGCUGUCCUUGGCCAUUGGCCCAUGCUUGACACAUUUUGGUCAUUUGCUGUUUCAGUAUUCUAUUUUCCUCAACCACAGUAGACUCUUGUUGAACCCUCUAACCCUGAGUCUUUUGAGCACUUGUAAUAGCUUCGAUGUCAGNNNNNNNNNNNNNNNNNNNNNNNNNNNNNNNNNNNNNNNNNNNNNNNNNNNNNNNNNNNNNNNNNNNNNNNNNNNNNNNNNNNNNNNNNNNNNNNNNNNNNNNNNNNNNNNNNNNNNNNNNNNNNNNNNNNNNNNNNNNNNNNNNNNNNNNNNNNNNNNNNNNNNNNNNNNNNNNNNNNNNNNNNNNNNNNNNNNNNNNNNNNNNNNNNNNNNNNNNNNNNNNNNNNNNNNNNNNNNNNNNAAUUUUCGAAGAAAGACUUAUAAAGAACAAAGAAAAUAUUUUUGGAUUUCGAUUCGUUUGUUGUCUUUUUUUAAAAGAAUUUUUGAAAAAAAGACUUCUAAAGAAGAAAGAUUUUUUUUGAAUUUUUGUACUUUUAUUUGAAUUUAUGAAAGAAAUACUUCUAAAGAAAGAAAAUAUUUUUUAAUCUUGAAUUUUCUUUUCAAUUUUCUAAAGAAGAAUAAAAAUAUUUUUUAAUUUUGAGAAGAAAUUAAAAGAACACAUUUUUUGUAUUUUUUAGAAAUUUGGGUCUAAAAGAAGACUUUCUAAAGAAAGAAGUAAAGGAAAAUAUUUUUGAAUUUUUUCUUGAAAAUUAUGGUCUCAAAGAAAGAUUUUUCUAAAGGAGGAAGCAAAGGAAAAUAUUUUUGGAUUUUUAAAAAUUGUGGUCUCAAAGAAAGACUUUUCUAAAGGAGGAAGCAAAGGAAAAUAUUUUUGGAUUUUUUUAAAAGUUGGGGUCUCAAAGAAAGUCAAACUAAAGAAGUAAAGGAAAAUAUUUUUAGAUUUUUUAAAAAUUGGGGCUCGGAACCGAUGAGGUUUGCCUACGUAUCUCACAUCCGGUGAGAAUCAGACCCGCGUAGUUCGAUUAGUUUUGACGUAAUUGAAAAAAUAUGAUAUCGACUCACUUUCAUUUUUUUUGAAAUACAUGUUUUUUUCCUCUUUUUUUUCAAAAUUUUGGUAGAGUUUCAAGGCAUUUUCAAAUUCUGGGGUUUUCAGAAACGGGCUUUUCUACAUCACUCUAGGUUUUCUCUUGAUUUAUUUUUCCUAGCCAGUCAGCAUGCAUGCCGAAACAAGUAAAUGUUCACAUAGCACAUAGGAUGCAUCAGGAUGGUCUGUUAUUUUGGGUACACUUGUCCUAGACGGACCCAACCCCUGUGUUGAGUCCCCUUAAUCAAAUGCACAUGAUGCAAACAAACGUUCCUACUAGGGAUUCGGCAUGAGGCUGUAUUUUUCUAGGUUUAAAACUUGGGGUUGUGUUCUAGACCUGGCUUACCCGAGCGGACAGCUCAAGCGGAAGAUGGGGCAACGUACCAGGAGCACUAAAGUCUACCCGACCUUGUUGCUGGCCCAGCCUCAUUCUAUUUGGUAUAACUUCUACAGAAAAAGCGGGCCACGCGAACGUGUGCACCAUUUUUUAGAAAACUCAGAUGGGAGGCGUAAGAAGACAAUUUAAUUCAAUUCAAAUAAUAUCAAAGCGGUAAAUAAGUAGCAGUUAGCAUAUUAGGUCCACAAAGACAGUAAUAUAAACAAUAAAUAAAGCCAAGUAAAAAUCACAAAACAAGCUCGAAUUCUUGAACCCUGAACCAGAGAUUCUGGGUCCUUAUCCCCAAUAGAGUCGCCAGAGCUGACACACCUCCUUUUUCCUACCCCCCCCCCGGAGUAUAAGGGAGUUUUUCCAAUUUAAGUGACAAUCAAAACAUGAUUAUUUUAUUUAAAAUCAGAGUCGCAACUUGGAAUAAUUUAUGGUGUCCAAAGUCACCAGUUUAAAAUUCCGAAUCGAGGAAGUUUGACUCUAUUUACGGUCUGCGAACACAAAAAUCCGGGUAAGAAAUUUUGUUAACCAGGGAGAAGGUGUUAGGCAUUCCCGAGUUCCGUAGUUCUAGCACGGUUGCUUUGAUCAUACUUGGCUUAAUCAAAUUGUUUAAUUACUGAUUUUAGAACCUAUGUGCAUUUGCCUCUUUUAAUUAAGAAAUUAUCUUGAAAAGGGUCACGCGUAUGUGUACCCAUUUGUUUGGUGCGCCAAAAAUCAUGUUACGCGAACGUGUCCACAAUUAAUAACGCUUUAUUAUUAUUAAGAAAGGUUUGGCCGAAGUUGCGCGAACGCAUACUCCGGUUUUAUUUUAAGAAUCAAAAUUAUGUCACGCGAACGUGUACGCAAUCACGAUGGUAUAUUAAAUGGGCCUAAAGCAACAACGAGCAUCCAAAAAGGUUAAUUAAUUUCCUAAGAAACAAUAUGACUUGCGAGGUUCUAAUUAAGGAAAUCCACUAAUAAUCUUAGGCAUGAUUCCAAUUGGAUCAAGGAAAUAUUUUUUCUCGUUCACAUUUGAAGACAAAUAUUAUCAGAUGUAUUGCUAUUGACAUUUCUAAACUUAACGUAAUCUUGAAGUAACAAGGAUUCGAAAAAAACAAAUUACUUUCACACUCAUGGUUAUUUCACAAUUAAUAAAUGAUGGAAUGCUAAUCGAUGUCCAGCCAAAUAACACAGCUUGCAAAAAAAGAUAAGAGCUUAUCUUACAUUUGCAAUACAGAAGUACAGCAAAAUACUAACACAUCCUCAAAUCAAAACAAUAUAACAUUAAUCCAAACAUUUCAUAUAACAGAGAACAACAAAGUUGACGGAAGUACACUAUUAAGCAAAACAGAGUAUGAAAAAUAAGGAACCAAACCUCAAAAUGGAUCAAUACAUUAGUUGUGAGGCAACGUUAAACUCAGACACGACAAACCAUGGACGGAGCUGAAACGGAACCCAUGAACAACGACCACGGACAACCUUGAAGCUCGCCGGAAUUAUCAAACUAGACCAGAAUGACAAAAACUAAGCUCCUGGCUAGAUUUUGAGUUUCUUUGGGACUGAUUUGGGGUUGUACUGAUCUGGUUUUGAAAGACGCCUGUUGAUGGUGAAAGAACGACAAAGUUGCUCGUUUUCCGGCGAGCUAGGUUGAAGACGACGACUGCUGCUAUGGUGCUUUGGAGCAGAGGCGGAUUUGUAGGCAUUUACACGGGGCACGUGAACCCAUGGUAUUUCCGUCAAACUAGAUAUUUUAUAUACAUAUUUUUAGAAUUUGUCUAGUAUUAUCGGCUGACACCCAUGCUCCAAAAAGGCUAAAUGGUGCACUUGGUUAAAUGUUGAGUUAUUUACCUAGAGGAUUAGGGAUCAAAUCCCACUUAAUACUUCUUUUUUUCUCACCCAUAUUAUUAAAAUUCUAGAUCAGCCACUGCUUUGGAGUCGAGGUCGCUGGUUUUGUUGAGGAAAGAAAACAGAACGGUUCCCAGCUCCUUUAAACUCAGGUGUUUUUCAUCUACUAGGUUAAAGGAAGGAGAUGAUUUCAGGGGUCGUUGUGUUGUGUGUGGUCGUUUGGAGGUCAGCAACGACACUAGGUUACAGGGGUAGUCGUUUGGUUGAAGAAGAAGCAGAAGGGUGGGGUGGAGACGAGGGUCUCUUCUCUAAAAACGGCGCAGCCUUUUGUCCCCUAGGUCUUUAGGAAUUUCCUUUUUUGUUUUUGUCUCCCCUCCUUCUGUCCGUUUUUUUCUCAUGCUUUUAUAUAUUGUUAUAAGUUGGUGAGAAAGUUAGUGUGUGGUCCCUCCUUAAAAAGAAAAUGCCAAAAAUUAAAAUUGUGACCAAAAUGAAUCAUUUCUGUUAUGGAUGAAAGGAGUACACUUAAUUUUGAGAGGAUAAGGAGGAAAAUCAAUUUAGGAGGUGGGACCCAUUGUAUAAUAAGAAAUUAAGGACAAAAUAUACGGGGGCCACAUAAGGGAUCUAAUUCUCUUUCCACCUUCUUUUCUUUCUUCUUUGAUUUUUCUUUUGCUUUUUUCACGUUUUUCCCUUUUAUUGUGUUUUUGGUUGCUUUUCUUUUCUUUCUUUAUUUUUAGUUAAUAAAAUAAAAUACUACUCCUACUUGAUAAAUAUAGAAAGAUAAAAAAUGCUAACUAUCCAAAAUUUAUUUAUUAAAAUCUAACUUGAAAUGGAUAGAGUAGACCUUUUAAAAAAAUAUUUUUGGAAGCUUUUUCUUUCUUUUGAGAAUAAGAAAACAAUUAAUAUGUAAAAUUGUGACUAUUUUUUGUUGUUUUCAAUUUAUCUAAAAUAAACCUAUAAAAAGGUAAAAUAAAAUUAAAAUAUUAAGAUUAAACUUUAAAAAUAUUUACAUACUAUAAUGUGAUAAAAAAUUCAAAUAUAGUCAAAAAUUAGUUGCUCACAACUAUAACAUUCCUAACUUAUCGACUUUUGACGAAACUUAUUUUUUUCAAUUGGUUUAGCUUCUAAGCCUUCUAACCCUCUUGGUUCUUGAAUUCCAUUAUCUUAAAUAUUUGUAACCUUCAAGUUAACAUGAUUAACUUACUUUAUGUACUUUCAAAGAUGAUCUCAUUUCAUAGCUUACGUCAAUUGACUUACGACUUACUCUCACGUACGAAACUAUAGGGUUUAACAUAAUUCCCCCUUUGGAACAUUCAUCCUUGAAUGUUGACUGACGCGCUUAUCAAUCUCAUAACCUAUAGCUCUUACGAAUAAUUUAGUAAUGUCUUUGACGUCUAGGCAACCAUUCUGUGAACAAAUCCAAAGUCCAGGGCAUUCCCCCCUUAGGCCUCUUUCUUGUACUACGACCUGUAGUCGAAAUUCUUCCAAUCUCGUUACUGUUUCUACCUCUGUCAUGCAGCUUGUACGACUCUAUCCCUGUAUGUGCGCCUAUGCGAGUCUUCUCUCCUUUUUUCUCCAGCUAUUAUCCAAUCUCUAAGCCUUACUUUGUCAACAUAUACAGAACUAUGAUAAGUUGUCCCUCUAGGCAGCUAUGUGUACUGAAGUCCUUCACUUGGUACUUUAUCAAACUUACGACUAUUUCUAUAUCUUGUUUCAUAGCCUUGGUUAUCUAUCCUUAUGAAUUUACUACAUCUAGGUAGGGCAUACUAGACCAUAACACCUACCUCAAUUUAUUAUUACCGAGGUUUGCUACCCAACUCCAGGUUACUGUCUCGCUGCUUUUCUUAUAUGUAUAAAUCUAAGUUCUUUAGUUCUUCCUCAUUAUUGUUCGUCUUAAGAAUGACAACCUAAUCUUAUCUCAUACAUUGGAACGUUUAUCUGGCUAUUGUUGAUUCACCUUAUGAUGAUCUAUAAUCUACCACUGAUAACUUGAAACCUCUUACGUAAUACAUUAUCUUAGGGCUCACGUCUCAUUGGGGAACAUAUGAAGUUAUUUGCCUGAUCCACCUAAGGACAAAUACAAUACUUCAUUAACCGUAUUUCAUAGUAUCCCAAUAUAGUUCAUCUUAUGGAGGUAUUCUAAUCUUAUGCAAUUUAUGAAAUCCAUUUUUCUCUAAAUCAUUUCUCACCCGAAGGCCUAAAUGUCAUUCACUUAUCAUUUAUCACAAUUACACCCUUAUUCCACUACCAGUAUAACAUUCCCUCUUUUCCAAAUGCUCAUAGUCUUAAACUCCUCUAAGUUUAUUCAGGUUAUACAUGGCCUUCUAUAACUUACGGGAACCAUUAGCUCUCUUGUUUUGAUGGGCUUAAUUCUAAGGCCUUACCUAUUCUCGUCACCUUCUAAUUCAUAUUUUCUUAUCUAAAUAUUUUUGUUCUACCAUACUUUAGCUUAUGACCUACACAUAUCUAUUUAUACUACUCAAAACUUUCCUUUAACUUGCUAUCACCAUAGAUUUCCUUAUAUUACUCUGGAAGCUUAAGCGAGACAUCACGCUGUCUCUAACUCUUCUUUACUCUCUUAACUAGACCUCUCGAUACCUGGAAACAAUAGGGUAGAAGAUAUGCUACUGACGAAACAAGUAUCAUUUUUGGAUACUGAAUCACAAUGCUUCUAGCACUCUAUGUGAAGUAUGGACUAUACACAACCUUCUGCACUUGAGUAUCUCCGACAUUCUUCACUUUUACCUUACUUACCAUUAAAUCUCAUAACAUAUCUCUGUCUAUUUCAUAACCUCGCUUCCACAUAGGUAGAAUUCACAUCCACAAAUUGAAGCUCUACUAUAAACUUGCACUUCUAGUGCAUACAAAAUCCGGCAAGAGGUUCAUACUAAUUUCGUAUGAGGUUGGUACUCUUCUAACUAGAUUUAUCGUAGAGCCAUUAUAGGAUAUGUCUAUUGUACUAUCUCUUUUGCACCUUUGAUAUUUAGAGUGAUUCUACAAUAUUCUGAAUCACGAUUUCUAUACUCAUCGGGAUCUAAUAAUCAGACUCCUAAUUCACUUAGCUGAUAUAUUUUAAGCAAUCCACUAGGCGAUAUGUCUAGGGCUAGUUUUAUUUAUAUAUGAAAAAAUAAAAAACCGAAUACAUUGUCAGGAGGUCUUACGAUAUGAAAGUAAUAAAAUUUACUAAUUACAUUCCUUCUAUUACCAAUGUUAAGCAAUGAACUUAACUUUGGUAUCACAAAGUGUGUGCUAGAAAAUUUAAACCAAUGCUGCAUCACAACUAGCCAUUGAUUGCCAAGAUAAACCUUGUGAAUAUGCACAUGUGUUUCUGAUAGUGUGCUGAAGAUGAUAACCUCUUUUCCUUGGUGUUGUAUUGUCCUUGUUUGUGUCCAAGUAUCUAGAAGUUCCCUAAUGACUGCUACAUACCAUCUGCAACUGAACCUGUGAUCCAUCUGCUACAUUGUUGUUGUCCACAUCUGUUUUCUCCUCUCUAUUAUGCCCUCAUUGUUGAUCAAUCUACUGGUGAUUCUUGAUAUGUUCCUUGCAUGAUUUCCUCCAUACUGUGUCCAUCUCCAAUUUUGUAUUGAUAUUUAUGUCCAAAUUAAACCAUUAUUGCCCGCUAAGUGCAGUCCAAAGUGCCAAGUUACAAGUCUUCUCCAUAUCUGCUCCAUUGUGGUGUUUAGGAAACCACUUUCUUGACUGGUUCUUGUGUUUCCAGCGGAAGCUUUUGCCUUACAUAAUUCCUGUGUUAUUGUAAACCUGUACUGCAUUUGGAAGACGUUCCAUAACAUAGCCCUGUUACCCAGAAAUCUUUGCCAAAACCUGCAACUAAUAUCCUGAAAACCAGCUUCUUUUACUAUGCUGCUUUUGCCUUCUAAAUCGUGUAUUGCCAUCAAGUGUCUUUUUGAUGCCCUUGUAUGAAGACAAAGCUGAUAUCUGGUAUAGACCUGCCGCAUUGAGAUUUCAAGCCAACAAACCCUAUUGCUGCCCUUACACAUGCUGAACACCCAAUGAUGUAUUAAGAUCCUACUCAUAGAUCUCAUGCUUGUGCAUGCCCCUUUUCCUUCUUCAAGGGAAUGAGCACAUAGUGCUAAUACCACCCAUUGAAGUCGUAAUAGGGGGCAAGGCAUGAGUACACUAACAUUUCCUGUAAAAAAGAAAACAAGGUUAGUGAAAAUAUUUGUCACUGUCAUCUCCUCCUGACUAUAGCAAUUGUCCAGUUCCCUCACUAAAACCCCUGCCUUAUUUAUUUUUUUUCACAACUCCCCUCCUUGUUUUGUCUAUCCUACUACCCUUAUAUUUGCCCAUGAAUCCCCCUUCAGCUUUCCUUUUCCAAAUUUCCUCCAUGUUACCAUAUAGCAUGCAGCCAACUUCCUCCCAAUACUCUUAUUGCUGCAUAUUUCUGCAUUUUUCUUCCUGUUCCUCCUUCUGCUCAUGACUUCUUGUUUCUGCCUCUUGUAAACUCUGAACAUCAAGAACUGCCUGACUCCCUGUAUCCUUAUACCACUCCCUCCAUUCUCUUACUCCCCAGACUCUUUUUUGUUGCUGCUAUACUUUGCCUGCAAUUCCUGCUGCUGCUAUAUCAGCAGCCGUAUUUCCUACCUGUGUUGAACAAUGAUAUUGGCUCCUAAAUUUUACCUCUUCUAUGUUCCUACCAAAUAGAAUUACACCCAGCAUUGCCUGACUCCUUAUAUCCAUUGAGGCUACCUUACCAUCCCCUAUAUACUUUACUCCAGAUUGCCCAUUUCGCUUAAACAUUUUGGGACCAAUAUCUCCUAUUGUUAUUCUGAUUUUCCAACCACACCAGAUGCUAAAGCAUAGUCUAAGUAUCAUUAAGUCCUGCUUGAAAAGUCUACCUAUGUAUGCCCUAGACUUCCUUUCAAUGGGUUGCGUGCAAAACACUAAUACCACCAUCUGAAUAUCCAUCAACAGGCAAGCCAUAGGUGUAGUAACUUGACCUGAAGAAAAAAAAACCUUGUUAGAUAAAACCAUAAUCACCAUGUACUCUUCCCACAUGAUUUCUUUAUGAUGAUCAUAAAUUGGCUCCAUUACAUCCUUCCUCCUUGCCUCCAUGCACCUUAAUUCUUUGCUACCUUUACUCUCAAGUAUGGACAUUGCAAUUUAUCCCCAUUCAAGAGCCUCCUACCUUCUGUGUCUAGCUGAUGGAACAAAUAACAUUCAAUAUACCCCUGAUCAAGAGCAUAAUUUUCCAAAUGAUCCGCUAAUUUGUUCCCCUCUCGAAAUAAAUGUGUUAUUCUGCCAUUGGAUAUGCUCAACAUAUGCCUUAUCUCCAUCACUUCUUCCUCAAUAAUCCAAGGUGGCUUCCAGUCCUCUUCAAUCACCCUCUUGAACAACAUUGAGUCUGUUUGCACCCAAGUAUUUGAUAUGCCAUCAGCCAAACUAUGUUUCAUUUCCUCCAGUAUAACCUUAGCUUCUGCCUGUGUAUUUGUCACCUCUUGAAUCUCCUUACCACACGCAUAUAGCAAAUCUCCUUGCUCAUUCCUCAAGCAAAAACCAAUUUAAUUCCUUCCCGGGUUACCCCUCGAUGCCCAAUUAGUGUUUAUUUUUGUCCAACCUUGCAUUGGAAAUUCCCAUAACACCUUAUUGAACUUCAGCUUGGGAGUAUAGUUCUCCAUCAUUUUCAGUAUGUCUGGCCACCUAUAUGGUACCUUAGCUUUCCCAGGUUUUCUUACCUUGAUAAGUGGCUGAAUAGUCAUGCAUACCUGAUACACCACCCUAUUAGUAGACACUGGCUCCCCAUGUUUAUUGCUAUUCCUCAUUUUCCACAACUCCCACACAAUGAUACUAGGCAGUGCUAGAAAUAUUGGCUUCAGUCUAGGAAUCACCUUCAAGGUCCAACAUUUCACUAUAGCCUGUUGUAAACUCAAUCCUUCCAAAGACAAUCCAGCAUAAGAAAAGAAGUAAGUCCACACUCUUGAAGCAGUGUAUGAAUGAUAGAACACGUGGCUUACUGUCUCUUCAUUAGGAGAUACACAACACCAGCAUUUUGAUGGCAUAAAGUAACCCAUCCUUCUUAUUAAAUCAUCUAAUGGUAAUUUCCCUUUCCAAAGCUUCCACAUAAAGAAGGAAAUUUUAAAAGGCAAUCCUUUCACCCACAUGUUAGUGCAAGAUAUAGCUGGAUCCUUUCUUCUUCGCAAAUACUCCCAUGCAGACUUGACUGUGAAUUGACCUCUAGUGUCUAACCUCCACAUAGGUUUGUCCAGUUCUUCUGAAUAAGCUGGGCAUGGUAUACUAUCCAGAAUAUGAGAUGCUAAAUCAUCAGGAAGAAUUUCCCUAAGUUGCUCUUCAUUCCACUAGCCUUCAGUAACUACAUCAUUCACAUUUUGAAUAGCUUCAUCAACUAUAAAUUCUAGAGGUGUUACAAAAUAUAGAGAUCCCAACCCCGUCCAAUUGUCAAAACAAAAAAAGAGAUGAUCCCAUUUUCAAUUUCCAAAGGAUUUCAUGCUCCACAAGGUCUGUACAUUUCAACAUCUUUCUUCAUACAUGAGAACCACGUCUCCAAGGCACAAUAAUGGCAUUCAUAUUUUUAUAAUAUUUCUAGCUCAUGAAGGCGCUCCACAAGGAUGGUUUGGUCCUGAAAUUCCACCAUAGUUUACAGAAGAGGGACUUGGACAUGUCAUGUAAUGAUCGAAAUCCUACUCCUCCCUCUUCUUGAGGUAAGAAAAGAGUAUCCCAUGAAGCCCAGUGUCUAGCUCUACCCUCUAUGGAACUGCUCCAAAUAAAUCUCGCAAAAAGUUUGUGCAACUUGUUUAUAACAUAUGCAGGUGGGUUCACUGCAGACAGCAGGUGAAUAUGCAUGCUUUGCAAAACACUAUUGAUCAGCGUAGCUCUACCACCAAUGGAUAACAGUUUCCCUCUCCAGGAUUAGAGUCUGUCCAUUACUUUAGUGAUUAAGCCCUCAUAGCAGUCCAUCUUUCUCCUUGAGUAGAAGAUAGGGCAGCCAAGAUAAGUGAAUCGAAACUCCUUUUUCCCUAUUCCAGUAACUCUCUCAAUCUUCCUCACAACCUCAUCACUUGUUGAGUGAUGGACAAAGGUAGCAUAUUUGGAUUUGUUAAUCAAUUGGCUUGAAGUUGCUUCAUAUAAAUUUAACACUUCCAUAAUCAAUCUUAGAGAAAUGACAUCUGAUGAUGAGAAUAUAAUUGUGUCAUCAGCAUAUGCAAGAUGGUUGAUUUUAGGGCUCCAUUUAGGUAGACCAAAUCCACAAAAAUACAAGUUAUGAUGUAAUGCAUUAAGCCCCCUCGACAUUGCCUCUGCAGCCAAUAUAAAUAAAAUAGGUGAUAAAGAAUCACCAUGCUUCACUCCUCUAGAAGACUUAAAAAAUCCAUGUGGUUGCCUAUUAACAAGAACUGAAUACCAAUUGUUAGACACAAUGUUAAAGAUCAAACCAAUAAACCUUUCAGAGAACCCCAUCUUCCUUAGGACCUUUGUGAGAAAAAGCCAAGAAAGUCUAUCAUAUGCCUUCAUCAUAUCCAACUUUAGAACUACAUUGGGACCUGAUUUUGUUCUCAAUCUAGUAUCAGUAAUUAUUUCCUGAUUGAGUAACACAUUUUCAACAAUACUCCUUCCUUUAACGAAUCCAGCCUACUCAUAAGAAAUAAUAUUAGGAAGAAUAUCAACCAACCUCUCAUGUAUCACCCUAGAGAUGAUUUUGUUUGAAAAAUUGCUCAAGCUGAUUGGUCUCAAAUCUGAGAAGGUUUGCACAUCCUUCUUCUUUGGUAACAAUACUAAAUUUGUGUGAGUCACAAAUUUAGAAAGAUCAUGCCCCCUAAAGAAGGCCUUUACCAUCUCUAUAAUAUCUUCACCUAUGAUUUCCCAACAAGCAUGGAAAAAAUUUCCAUUGAAACCAUCAGGUCCACCUGCAGUGUCCCCAUUCAGCCCAAAUACUGCCUUCUUGACUUCCUCCAUUGUUGGCUGUCUUGUGAGCUCACUAUUUUGUUCCUCAUUUAUCAGCACAGGCAUGUGAUCCAAUAUUGUAAAAUCUAUUGGAACACUAGAUUCAUGGAAUUGCUGCUGGAAAAAAUGGACAACUUCUUCUGCUAUAUCUGCUUGUUCCUCUAGCCAAUUACCAUUUCUAUCUUAAAUUCUUUUCAGCUGUAGUUUCCUUCUUUUGCCAUUUACAUGAGCAUGAAAAAGCUUAGUAUUUCUAUCUCCAUCUUUAACCCAAACUAUACCAGCCUUUUGUUUCCAGAAAUCCUCUUCUAAUGCCCAUACUCGAAUCAAUUCAGCUUGAACUUUUUGGAGUCUUUUGUGAUUUUGAAAUGUUGGAUUUAAUUCAAAUUGAGUCUCAUGUACCUUGACCACUUCCUCCAAACUAGCCAACCUUUGAAAAAUAUCACCAAAUGUAUCUCUUCUCCAUACCGUUAAAGCCUUCUUCAAUUUCUUCAUCUUGUGGUUGAAUAAGAUAUAUGGGCUCGCAUGAAAGUCUGCCUGCCAGUUUUCCUUAACGACCUCCAAGAAUGAAUCAUGUUUAAUCCAUAGAUUCAGAAAUCUAAAAGCUUUUUUGACUGGACCAGUACUAGGAUUACAAGUAAGUUGCAUCGGGCUAUGGUCUGAACCAAUCUUGGAUAGAUGAUUGAUUUCCAAACCUGGCCAAAGCUGUUGAAGCUCCAUGUUGCCCAGACAUCUGUCUAGUCAUUUGAAAAUACAAUCCUCCUCAGCCCUCUCAUUCCAUCAAGUGAAAAUGCUUCCUUUGAACCCAAGAUCAAAAAGAUUGCACGUAUUAAUACAGUGCCUGAAAUCAUCUAUCUCGUUAAUAUGUACUGGAAGGCUACCAAAUUUCUCUUCUUCAUCCCAUAUCAUAUUAAAGUCUCCACCCACGAGCCAUGGCAGAGACAUAUCAGUAGCCAAUGAGUAUCAUGUGUCCCACAACUCAAUUCUCUCAGUCGCAUUACAUUUAGCAUAUACCAUGAUAAUAAUAAACUCCUUAUGAUCAUCAGUAUUAGUCAUUCUCAAGGUAAUCUGCUGCUCCAUGUUGAAUAGGAUAUCAAAAUCAUAUUUUUGAUCUAUCAAAAUCCAUAUUUUGUUAGAUAUAUUAACCACUACUUGCUCAAACCCAAGCCUUCACCUAUACUGGUCCACAGUUCUAGUCUGCUGCAUAGGCUUCAUCAAGGCAAUGAAAUCAAAUUGGUACCGUCUAUCUAUUGUGACUACUCUUUCAAAAGCUUGCAUUGUAUUAACUGACCUAAUAUUCCAAAUGAGAGCAUACAUCAUUAAUUAACUGAUUUAGAAAAGGUUCUCCUUGUUUGAACUCCUGGGACUUGCACCCCAAUAGUGUCCUUUGGCUAUUUUUUCUUCCCCCUUCCUGCUGAUUUCCCAAUCUCUAUUUGUCUAGGAGAGAUGUCACCUUGCCUAGCAACAUUGAUGAAAUUCUAGGUAGUGGAUUCUACAUCCAUAUCUCUCCAUUUUGUCCCUUGUACAUGCUCUUCUUCUGCAUUAUUUUGUUGAGUAACCAUCUGGUUAUGGAUAGGUUUAGGAAUCAGACUCUUAUAAUUAUUUUUCCUUUGCUUCACCUCAGUUAUGACCUGUGGAUUAGGAUAGCUGAUGACAUCUUGAAUCUGUGUAAUGGCUGCUGAUUCAUCAUCUGGGGUACCCUGGCUUGCUUUCUACUGCUUCUCUGAAUCUUUCUGAAUUCCUUCAAAUUGUUGCUGUUGCACUUCCUCCCCUGAAUUCCUUGGAUCCCCUGUAUAUCUAACUUGUUCUAUAGGCUCAUUCAUCUCUGCAAGGCUAGGAUUAUUAAUAGGAUUAGCUGAUAGUUCAGAGUUAUUAGGCUGUUCAACAUGAAGAGGCUGCUCUGCUGAAUCCUUGAGCUUGUUACCCUCAGCUCCACUUUGUCCUUCAAUUCCACCACUUUUACUAUUCAAACUUUGUUCCUCCACAUCUGGCUCUUUGUCUUGUACUUCUUCCACAUCUUCAUGGCCUUCAAGGAAUUCACCUUCAUCUAAUUCUUCUUCAUGCUGUUGAUACCAUAAUCUACCUCCAGUAAAAUCCACACUAUCCUUUAGAUUUUCUUGCUCAGGGAUCACACUUGUAUCUAGAGAUUGAAAUGGGAUUUCUUGGCAAAACUGAUUUGUGGUAACAUUUGUGAUCGGGAAAGUUCUAUGUACCCAUUGAGCUGUAGAUUCUUUAACUCUAUCUGUUGCUGCCUUAACUAUACUUCCUCCCCCAUUAGAAUUAGUUUAAUUGCCUCUCUUUGAUGAUGCUACUCCAGUAGACUUAGGAGUAAAAACUGCAGCAGCUAGAUUUAACUCCUUAUGGACAGGUGAUUUCUGUACAACAGUAUCCUCCACCACUACUAAUUGAAUACCUUCAUUAUUUUGUUAUUCAACUUGUAAGGCUGCAAACUUGUUUGCUAUUUGAAUUUGUUGGUCUGCAUUAAUUGAAACAAUUUGCCUUCUUCCAUUAUCAUUGCUAUGCUAACUAUUACCAUUAGCUGUCCCAAUUUCCUGCAUUGAUGCACCAUCAUUUUGAAUCAGAUUAAUAGAUUUUUGUACCUGCUGCCCAUUACCUUGAUCAACUGGAACUAUUUCUUUCCCUGUAACAACUUGAUUUCCAUUCUUCUUCACACGAUUGUCCCUCACUUCCUUCCAUUGCUCCCCAAUUGGAUUCACAUUACCUACUACUCUCCCGCUUGAUAUCAUCAUCAAGGGUUGAUUAUGAUGAACCUUAGACUGCUCCUUGCUACUUUCCACAGUCUGCUUGCCUUAAUCAUAAGGGGAUAAUUCCGGAUGAAUUCUCCAGCAUUAAAAUUCAUCAUGCCCUUGUAAUCUGCAUUCCUUACAAUAUUUGGGCAACAUAUCAUACUUGAUGCUAACCCAUUCAGUUCUUAUUUCACCUGAAGCUUCAUUAACAAUGUCCAUUCUCACCUUCUUAGGAUGAUCAGCUAACAAGUCGAUGAGAACUUUGAUCCUAGCACAACUAGGUCUAGUCUUAUUGAUUGUAGCCAUGUCCAAGUGUAAAGGCUUUCCAAUAGCUGAAGCAAGAGAAAAAAGACACUCCUUCACAAAAUAAGUAGGUAACAAACUUGGAAAGGAAAUCCAAGCCAUAGCCAUUGGAGUCUCCUCUCAUGCCUUAAAUUUCACAUCAUAUAUGAGAGGUCGGAUUUGAUAUUCAUGUCCAUUCUUGUCUUUGACAUAUUGAGCACCUUUCGACGAAAAAUCAACAAAGUCCUGCCACAAAGUUAUACGUAUAAGGAUAUGCCUGUCUCUCAAGUAACUAAUGCUACACUCCCUUAAUUCCACAUUGUAAUGGGACAAUGCGACAAAUCUCGUUCAAAUCUGGCCAUCCAUACGCAAAUUUUUCAACCACAACAUAUUGGAGACCUUCAAUCACGUUCAUUCUAUCAACUUUUGCCUCCGUAAACUUCACCAUUAGUUGUCCAUUGACAAAAGCUGCUCAACGCAAUGGAAUUGGUUCAACAAAGGAAACACGUUCCUGCAUGGCACUGUUCAUAGUUGAUGGUUUAAGGAUUUUAGAGUAGUCAAAGGGCUGGGGAUUGUUGUUAGUGGUCGUGGAGGGCUGGGCGAUGAUGGGAGGGGCCUGACCAGCCGAAGAAGAGGGCUAGCCGCCGGCCAUAUUGGCCAUGGCAAAAAAAUCGCAAGUUUUCUCUCUCUAGUAUCACAAAAUCACCAGAGCCCCUCUCUCUCUCUCUCUACUUCUCCUCCACUUAGCUGAUGUAAC
rnacentral:lncRNA from 1 species